AUGUCUCCUUAUAAAAUGGUUUAUGGAAAAGCUUGUCAUUUGCCUCUUGAGUUAGAACAUAAAGCAUAUUGGGCAAUUAAAGAACUUAACUAUGACUUCAAACUUGCCGGUGAAAAGAGGUUAUUUGAUAUUAGCUCACUAGAUGAAUGGAGAACCCAAGCUUAUGAAAAUGCCAAACUAUUCAAAGAAAAAGUUAAAAGAUGGCAUGAUAAAAGAACCCAAAAGCGGGAAUUCAAAGUUGGAGAAUAUGUUCUUUUGUACAACUCUCAUUUUAGAUUCUUUGCAGGAAAACUUCUCUCCAGAUGGUAA
rnacentral:rRNA from 1 species